CCCAGACUCCUACGGGAGGCAGCAGUGAGGAAUAUUGGUCAAUGGCCGAGAGGCUGAACCAGCCAAGUAGCGUGCAGGAUGACGGCCCUCGUGGUUGUAAACUGCUUUUAGUCGGGAAUAAAAGGGGGUUCGUGAACCCCGUAUUGUAUGUACCGUCAGAAAAAGGACCGGCUAAUUCCGUGCCAGCAGCCGCGGUAAUACGGAAGGUCCGGGCGUUAUCCGGAUUUAUUGGGUUUAAAGGGAGCGUAGGCGGGCCGUUAAGUCAGUUGUGAAAGUUCGGGGCUCAACCCCGGAAUUGCAGUUGAAACUGCCGGUCUUGAGUACACGCAGGGAAGCCUGAAUUCAUGGUGUAGCGGUGAAAUGCUUAGAUAUCAUGAAGACGACCGAUCGCGAAGGCAGGUUUCCGGAGUGUAACUGACGCUGAGGCUCGAAAGUGCGGGUAUCAAACAGGAUUAGAUACCCGGGUAC
rnacentral:rRNA from 1 species